rnacentral:snoRNA from 1 species
CUGCACUGCUGAGUGGCUGGUUGGUCUCCUCCUUGACCUCCUGAGUCUCAUUACAGUGCAAGAUGAACUCCCUUCUAGCAGAAGGGCCAGGCUAUUUCAGUGGUCUGUCUCUUUUGAUAGUUGGGUACAAAC